UGCAAGUCGAACGGCAGCACGGGAGCAAUCCUGGUGGCGAGUGGCGAACGGGUGAGUAAUAUAUCGGAACGUGCCCAGUAGUGGGGGAUAGCCCGGCGAAAGCCGGAUUAAUACCGCAUACGACCUAAGGGUGAAAGCGGGGGAUCGCAAGACCUCGCGCUAUUGGAGCGGCCGAUAUCAGAUUAGCUAGUUGGUGGGGUAAAAGCCCACCAAGGCGACGAUCUGUAGCUGGUCUGAGAGGACGACCAGCCACACUGGGACUGAGACACGGCCCAGACUCCUACGGGAGGCAGCAGUGGGGAAUUUUGGACAAUGGGCGCAAGCCUGAUCCAGCCAUGCCGCGUGCGGGAAGAAGGCCUUCGGGUUGUAAACCGCUUUUGUCAGGGAAGAAACGGCUCUUACUAAUAUUAGGAGCUAAUGACGGUACCUGAAGAAUAAGCACCGGCUAACUACGUGCCAGCAGCCGCGGUAAUACGUAGGGUGCAAGCGUUAAUCGGAAUUACUGGGCGUAAAGCGUGCGCAGGCGGCUAUGCAAGACAGAUGUGAAAUCCCCGGGCUCAACCUGGGAACUGCAUUUGUGACUGCAUGGCUAGAGUACGGUAGAGGGGGAUGGAAUUCCGCGUGUAGCAGUGAAAUGCGUAGAUAUGCGGAGGAACACCGAUGGCGAAGGCAUUCCCCUGGACCUGUACUGACCGCUCAUGCACGAAAGCGGUGGGGGAGCAAACAGGAUUAGAUACCCUGGUAGUCCACGCCCUAAACCGAUGUCAACUGGUUGUUGGACGGCUUGCUGUUCAGUAACGAAGCUAACGCGUGAAGUUGACCGCCUGGGGAGUACGGCCGCAAG
rnacentral:rRNA from 1 species